rnacentral:lncRNA from 1 species
GCUGAGCAAGAACGCCGCUAGCGAUGGCGGUCGGCGGCGUGUCCUGGACGCCAUCUCCCCUACCCCCUUUUUAGGCCGCCCAGCACAAACGCCAAGAAGGAACCAAGAUAACCUAGUGAGGUGGGGUUGACAUGAAUCCUGGAACUGCAUGGCAGGGUGUUUGGAGAUUGUAGCAGGUUAUGGGCCUUUAAGUGACCUCAGUUUCUCCAAAGAGCCCAGACUGGAUGAAGCAUGAAUUUAGCCCAGCAGUAGUCCCACAGUUCUAUGAGAAAUGGUUGCCCUCACCACCUGACUUAACUCUGGCCUCUCUGAUAUGCAGUGUAAAGUUGAGGAAAUGCACCUGGAGUACCUCUAACGAGUGCUCAUGAGGGGCUAUCAUCACGAUUAUUAAUUAUUAACAAGAGCCAGGCAGCCUGAAAUG